rnacentral:rRNA from 1 species
UACGCAGGGGGCAAGCGUUGUCCGGAUUUAUUGGGCGUAAAGAGCGUGUAGGCGGCUUGGUAGGUCCGCUGUGAAAACUCGAGGCUCAACCUCGAGAUGUCGGCGGAAACCACUUGGCUAGAGUCCGGAAGAGGAGAGUGGAAUUCCCGGUGUAGCGGUGAAAUGCGCAGAUAUCAGGAGGAACACCGGUGGCGAAGGCGGAUCUCUGGGCCAUUACUGACGCUGAGGAGCGAAAGCGUGGGGAGCGAACAGG